rnacentral:rRNA from 1 species
UGGCCUACGGGGGGCAGCAGUCGGGAAUAUUGCGCAAUGGAGGAAACUCUGACGCAGUGACGCCGCGUAUAGGAAGAAGGUUUUCGGAUUGUAAACUAUUGUCGUUAGGGAAGAUAAAAGACUGUACCUAAGGAGGAAGCCCCGGCUAACUACGUGCCAGCAGCCGCGGUAAUACGUAGGUGGCGAGCGUUGUCCGGAUUUACUGGGCGUAAAGGGAGCGUAGGCGGACUUUUAAGUGAGAUGUGAAAUACUCGGGCUCAACUUGAGUGCUGCAUUUCAAACUGGAAGUCUAGAGUGCAGGAGAG